AUGCUUGCUUCAACAGCACAUAUACUAAAAAUUAGAAUGACACAGAGAAGGUUAGCAUGGCCCCUGCACAAGAAUGACAUGCAAAUUCAUGAAGCAUUCCAUAUUAAA
ensembl:snRNA U6 U6 spliceosomal RNA